rnacentral:lncRNA from 1 species
AACUGCGCGGCCGCGGACACCGAGGCAGGCGCGAGCCAUGGAGGGCAACCGCGACGAGGCGGAGAAAUGCGUGCAGAUCGCUCGCGAGGCCCUGAGCGCCGGCAACCGCGACAAGGCCCAGCGCUUCCUGCAGAAGGCCGAGAAGCUGUACCCGCUGCCGGCCGCGCGCGCAUUAUUGGAAAUAAUUAUGAAAAACGGAAGCACUGCUGGAAAUAGCACGCAUUGCCGAAAACCGCCAGGGAGCAGCGACCAGAGCAAGCCCAGCUUCGGGAAGGAUGGCACUUCCGGUGCUGGUGAAGGCGGGAAAGUCUACACCAAAGACCAAGUCGAAGGCGUGCUCAGGUAGGCGUGAAUGCAAGUGUGCGGCUCCAGCAUCCUUGAUUGUGAUAGGGCCCAAUCGACAUUCUAAUGCCUAAAAAAGGGUAUUUAAAGCGCAGUUUAAUUGAAGGGAAAUGAAGGAGUUACCAGGGUGUCCUGCGUUUCAUACUGUGAAGCCAACCUGGAGGGUGUUAACUUUCUGGAAGCUUCCACUCACUUACAUCAGCUAUAUGCCACCAUGAGCGUUUGGAAUACUUUCUCUGAAAUAAUGAUCGCAGCCUUGAUUCUAUGC